rnacentral:rRNA from 1 species
CACGUAGGCGGACCAGAAAGUUGGGGUGAAAUCCCGGGGCUCAACCUCGGAACUGCCUUCAAAACUCCUGGUCUUGAGUUCGAGAGAGGUGAGUGGAAUUCCGAGUGUAGAGGUGAAAUUCGUAGAUAUUCGGAGGAACACCGGUGGCGAAGGCGGCUCACUGGCUCGAUACUGACGCUGAGGUGCGAAAGCGUGGGGAGCAAACA